GUUUACCUACAGAAGAAGCACCGGCUAACUCCGUGCCAGCAGCCGCGGUAAUACGGAGGGGUGCGAGCGUUAAUCGGAAUUACUGGGCGUAAAGCGCAUGCAGGCGGCCUGUUAAGUCAGAUGUGAAAGCCCGGGGCGUUAACCUCGGAAUUGCAUUUGAAACUGGCAGGCUUAGAGUCUUGUAGAGGGGGGUAGGAAUUUCAGGUGUAGCGGUGAAAUAGCGUAGAGAUCUGAAGGAAUACCAGUGGCGAAGGCGGCCCCCUCGGACAAAGACUGACGCUCAGAUCGCGAAAGCGUGGGGAGCAAACAGGAUUAGAUACCCCUGGUAG
rnacentral:rRNA from 1 species